GACGAACGCUGGCGGCGUGCUUAACACAUGCAAGUCGAACGGAAAGGCCCUGCUUUUGUGGGGUGCUCGAGUUGCGAACGGGUGAGUAACACGUGAGUAACCUGCCCUUGACUUUGGGAUAACUUCAGGAAACUGGGGCUAAUACCGGAUAGGAGCUCCUGCUGCAUGGUGGGGGUUGGAAAGUUUCGGCGGUUGGGGAUGGACUCGCGGCUUAUCAGCUUGUUGGUGGGGUAGUGGCUUACCAAGGCUUUGACGGGUAGCCGGCCUGAGAGGGUGACCGGCCACAUUGGGACUGAGAUACGGCACAGACUCGUACGGGAGGCAGCGGUGGAGAAUAUUGCACAAUGGGCGGAAGCCUGAUGCAGCAACGCCGCGUGCGGGAUGACGGCCUUCGGGUUGUAAACCGCUUUCGCCUGUGACGAAGCGUGAAUGACGGUAAUGGGUAAAGAAGCACCGGCUAACUACGUG
rnacentral:rRNA from 1 species